AGUGAACGCUGGCGGUAGGCCUAACACAUGCAAGUCGAACGGCAGCACAGUAAGAGCUUGCUCUUACGGGUGGCGAGUGGCGGACGGGUGAGGAAUACAUCGGAAUCUACUUUUUCGUGGGGGAUAACGUAGGGAAACUUACGCUAAUACCGCAUACGACCUACGGGUGAAAGCAGGGGAUCUUCGGACCUUGCGCGAUUGAAUGAGCCGAUGUCGGGUUAGCUAGUUGGCGGGGUAAAGGCCCACCAAGGCGACGAUCCGUAGCAGGUCUGAGAGGGUGAUCAGGCACACUGGAACUGAGACACGGUCCAGACUCCUACGGGAGGCAGCAGUGGGGAAUAUUGGACAAUGGGCGCAAGCCUGAUCCAGCCAUACCGCGUGGGUGAAGAAAGCCUUCGGGUUGUAAAGCCCUUUUGUUGGGAUAGAAAAGCAGCAGGUUAAUACCCCGCUGUUCUGACGGUACCCAAAGAAUAAGCACCGGCUAACUUCGUG
rnacentral:rRNA from 1 species